rnacentral:rRNA from 1 species
CGCGAAACCUUUACACUGCACGCCAGUGCGAUAAGGGGACUCCAAGUGCGAGGGCAUAUCGUCCUCGCUUUUGUGUACCGUAAGGUGGUACACGAAUAAGGGCUGGGCAAGACCGGUGCCAGCCGCCGCGGUAAUACCGGCAGCCCAAGUGAUGACUGCUCUUAUUGGGCCUAAAGCGUCCGUAGCUGGCCGUUCAAGUCCAUCGGGAAAUCCGCGCGCCCAACGCGCGGGCGUCCGGUGGAAACUGUUCGGCUUGGGACCGGAAGACCUGAGGGGUACGUCUGGGGUAGGAGUGAAAUCCCGUAAUCCUGGACGGACCACCGGUGGCGAAAGCGCCUCAGGAGGACGGAUCCGACGGUGAGGGACGAAAGCUCGGGUCACGAACCGGAUUAGAUACCCGGGUAGUCCGAGCUGUAAACGAUGUCUGCUAGGUGUGACACAGGCUACGAGCCUGUGUUGUGCCGUAGGGAAGCCGUGAAGCAGACCGCCUAGGAAGUACGUCCGCAAGGAUGAAACUUAAAGGAAUUGGCGGGGGAGCACUACAACC